CGUUAACACGCAAAAACGUGGUGGUCAAUUGACAGAUAAAUACGACAGAUACGCGAAAUUACAACCAUUCAAAUUCUAGAGAAGAACGUGAACGCACCACUGCAAAUAUUCAGCAUAAUGAAGCUUACAUUUUCCUUGCUAUGGCUGGCCCUGCUCGGCUGCCUCGUCGCUUCUCUUCCACAACCUGAGCCUUCAUCUCACCACGACCAGCUACCGUCUGGCUCAUAUUCCACACAAAAUAGUAACAACCGCGAUUGUAGAUUUCUUAUCUUCUGUAAUGAUGGCCCGCUAAUUCAGUGGGGUAAUAAUAACUCUGGAUAGAAAGAUGUAUUUUUCUUAAAGAGUAACAAAAUGGUACUGUUGUAAUUGUCGAGUUUCUUGCAAUGUUUAAAAAUAUCAUUUUAUGAUAUGAUAAAAAAGCGAUUUAAUUAUGUAUAUAUGUAUACUAGUUUGUCUUCUUAAUAAAAAUGAUAAACAAUA